ACCCCUAGCAAAUCUCAAAAAACCGUCUCAGUUCGGAUUGUGCUCUGCAACUCGAGCACAUGAAGUCGGAAUCGCUAGUAAUCGCAGAUCAGCACGCUGCGGUGAAUACGUUCCCGGGCCUUGUACACACCGCCCGUCACACCAUGGGAGUUGGCUUUACCUGAAGGCGGUGCGCUAACCCGCAAGGGAGGCAGCCGACCACGGUAGGGUCAGCGACUGGGGUGAAGA
rnacentral:rRNA from 1 species